CUUACCAUGCGAGUCGAACGAUGAAGCCCUUCGGGGUGGAUUAGUGGCGAACGGGUGAGUAACACGUGGGCAAUCUGCCCUUCACUCUGGGACAAGCCCUGGAAACGGGGUCUAAUACCGGAUAACACUCUGUCCCGCAUGGGACGGGGUUGAAAGCUCCGGCGGUGAAGGAUGAGCCCGCGGCCUAUCAGCUUGUUGGUGGGGUAAUGGCCUACCAAGGCGACGACGGGUAGCCGGCCUGAGAGGGCGACCGGCCACACUGGGACUGAGACACGGCCCAGACUCCUACGGGAGGCAGCAGUGGGGAAUAUUGCACAAUGGGCGAAAGCCUGAUGCAGCGACGCCGCGUGAGGGAUGACGGCCUUCGGGUUGUAAACCUCUUUCAGCAGGGAAGAAGCGAAAGUGACGGUACCUGCAGAAGAAGCGCCGGCUAACUACGUGGCAGCCGCCCCGGGUAAUAC
rnacentral:rRNA from 2 species